AUGUUUGCAAAUGUGAGCAUAACACAAAUUAAGAGAGCAAAACAAAUUGUGAAGCAGAGAGUGUAUGAUUCCACCAAGUUCCAAUACUCAAAAGUAUUUGAUUAUCAGUUGGAAUUGCUGAGGAGCAAUGCAAUAAGCACUAUUGUUGUCAAACUUGAUCCAAAGGAAAGAGUACCAAGAUUUUUGAGAAUGUAUGUGUGCUUGGCUGCUCUGAAAGAAGGUUUCAAGGCAGGUUGUAGAAAAGUAGUAGGAAUGGAUGUAUGUUUUUUCAAAGCACAACAAAUGGAGAGCUUCUCUGUACUAUAG
rnacentral:rRNA from 1 species